ACGCCGACCCGCGGGAGCCCGCGUUCCGAGGCUGAGAGGCGGCAGGACCGGCCGCCGACCGUUCGAACCUGACCCGGUUAACACCGGCGUAGGGAGGACGAGUGACUCUCGU
rnacentral:ncRNA from 2 species